rnacentral:rRNA from 1 species
AGGACGAACGCUGGCGGCGUGCUUAACACAUGCAAGUCGAACGGUGACCCAGGGCUUGCCCUGGUGAUCAGUGGCGAACGGGUGAGUAACACGUGGGCAACCUGCCCCAGACUCUGGGAUAACUCCGGGAAACCGGGGCUAAUACCGGAUACGAAUCGAGUUGGCAUCUUCUCGAUUGGAAAGUUUUUCGGUCUGGGAUGGGCCCGCGGCCUAUCAGCUUGUUGGUGGGGUAAUGGCCUACCAAGGCGACGACGGGUAGCCGGCCUGAGAGGGCGACCGGCCACACUGGGACUGAGACACGGCCCAGACUCCUACGGGAGGCAGCAGUGGGGAAUAUUGCGCAAUGGGCGAAAGCCUGACGCAGCGACGCCGCGUGAGGGACGACGGCCUUCGGGUUGUAAACCUCUUUCAGCAGGGAUGAAGCGAAAGUGACAGUACCUGCAGAAGAAGCACCGGCUAACUACGCGCCAGCAGCCGC